ensembl:snoRNA
UGGACCAGUGAUGACCACUGCUGCGUAGGAGUCAUAUAUGGUGAAUAUUAUGUGUCUGUGACUCUUAAAUCCAC